rfam:Gossypium arboreum cultivar AKA8401 contig_43509_3, whole genome shotgun sequence.
AAUUUGUGAUGUGGACAUUUCUUACUCAGCAACUUAAAAUGCUCUCAAGCUUCAUGAAAACUCUCUCCCUCUAACUAUUUGAACAUAGUAAUCUCUUUUUUUAGCU